AUAAGCAUAUCAAUAAGCGGAGGAAAAGAAACUAACAAGGAUUCCCCUAGUAACUGCGAGUGAAGCGGGAAAAGCUCAAAUUUAAAAUCUGGCGGUCUCUGGCCGUCCGAGUUGUAAUCUAGAGAAGCAAUGCCCGCGCUGGACCGUGUACAAGUCUCCUGGAAUGGAGCGUCAUAGAGGGUGAGAAUCCCGUCUUUGACACGGACUCCCAGGGCUUUGUGGUAUGCUCUCAAAGAGUCGAGUUGUUUGGGAAUGCAGCUCAAAAUGGGUGGUAAAUUCCAUCUAAAGCUAAAUAUUGGCGAGAGACCGAUAGCGAACAAGUACCGUGAGGGAAAGAUGAAAAGAACUUUGGAAAGAGAGUUAAACAGUACGUGAAAUUGCUGAAAGGGAAACGCUUGAAGUCAGUCGCGUUGGCCGGGGAUCAGCCUCGCUUUUGCGUGGUGUACUUUCCGGUUGACGGGUCAGCAUCAAUUUUGAUCACUGGAAAAAGACUUGGAGAAUGUGGCAGCUUCGGCUGUGUUAUAGCUUCUUGUCAUAUACAGUGGUUGGGAUUGAGGUACUCAGCACGCCGCAAGGCCGGGUUUCGACCACGUUCGUGCUUAGGAUGCUGGCAUAAUGGCUUUAAGCGACCCGUCUUGAAACACGGACCAAGGAGUCUAACAUGCCUGCGAGUGUUUGGGUGGAAAACCCGAGCGCGUAAUGAAAGUGAAAGUUGAGAUCCCUGUCGUGGGGAGCAUCGACGCCCGGACCAGAACUUUUGGGACGGAUCCGCGGUAGAGCAUGUAUGUUGGGACCCGAAAGAUGGUGAACUAUGCCUGAAUAGGGUGAAGCCAGAGGAAACUCUGGUGGAGGCUCGUAGCGAUUCUGACGUGCAAAUCGAUCGUCAAAUUUGGGUAUAGGGGCGAAAGACUAAUCGAACCAUCUAGUAGCUGGUUCCUGCGAGCUUCUCCCCUCGCGGAUAAUAAA
rnacentral:rRNA from 1 species